rnacentral:rRNA from 1 species
UUUCGGCCAAAGGAAGGGGAAUGCUUAGUGGCGGACUGGUGAGUAACGCGUGAGGAACCUGCCUUUCAGAGGGGGACAACAGUUGGAAACGACUGCUAAUACCGCAUGACACAUUGGGGUCGCAUGGCCCUGAUGUCAAAGAUUUAUCGCUGAAAGAUGGCCUCGCGUCUGAUUAGCUAGUUGGUGAGGUAACGGCCCACCAAGGCGACGAUCAGUAGCCGGACUGAGAGGUUGACCGGCCACAUUGGGACUGAGAUACGGCCCAGACUCC